rnacentral:rRNA from 1 species
UGGGGAAUAUUGGACAAUGGGCGAAAGCCUGAUCCAGCCAUGCCGCGUGUGUGUAGAAGGUCUUCGGAUUGUAAAGCACUUUAAGUUGGGAGGAAGGGCAGUAAGCGAAUACCUUGCUGUUUUGACGUUACCGACAGAAUAAGCACCGGCUAACUCUGUGCCAGCAGCCGCGGUAAUACAGAGGGUGCAAGCGUUAAUCGGAAUUACUGGGCGUAAAGCGCGCGUAGGUGGUUCGUUAAGUUGAAUGUGAAAGCCCCGGGCUCAACCUGGGAACUGCAUCCAGAACUGGCGAGCUAGAGUAGGGCAGAGGGUGGGGGAAUUUCCUGUGUAGCGGUGAAAUGCGUAGAUAUAGGGAGGAACACCAGUGGCGAAGGCGGCCACCUGGGCUCAUACUGACGCUGAGGUGCGAAAGCGUGGGGAGCAAACAGG